GCGCGCUUAGCUCAGUGGUAGAGCGUCUCGUUUACACCGAGAGGGCCGGGGGUUCGAACCCCUCAGCGCGCA
rnacentral:tRNA from 1 species